rnacentral:rRNA from 1 species
CCUACGGGAGGCAGCAGUGGGGAAUUUUGGACAAUGGGCGCAAGCCUGAUCCAGCAAUGCCGCGUGCAGGAAGAAGGCCUUCGGGUUGUAAACUGCUUUUGUACGGAGCGAAAAGGCUCUCUCUAAUACAGGGGGCUCAUGACGGUACCGUAAGAAUAAGCACCGGCUAACUACGUGCCAGCAGCCGCGGUAAUACGAAGGGUGCAAGCGUUACUCGGAAUUACUGGGCGUAAAGCGUGCGUAGGCGGUCUGUUAAGUCUGAUGUGAAAUCCCCGGGCUCAACCUGGGACCUGCAUUGGAUACUGGCGGGCUAGAGUACGGUAGAGGGUGGUGGAAUUCCCGGUGUAGCAGUGAAAUGCGUAGAGAUCGGGAGGAACACUCGUGGCGAAGGCGGCCACCUGGACCAGUACUGACGCUGAGGCACGAAAGCGUGGGGAGCAAACAGGAUUAGAUACCCUGGUAGUCCACGCCCUAAACGAUGCGAACUGGAUGUUGGGCUCACUUCGGAGCUCAGUAUCGAAGCUAACGCGUUAAGUUCGCCGCCUGGGGAGUACGGUCGCAAGACUGAAACUCAAAGGAAUUGACGG